rnacentral:misc_RNA from 1 species
UCAGCUUGGAAUAAGACAACAACUAGUUGCACAUUUCUUUCCAAGAAAAAGAAAGCUCUCUCUGUGCAGAGAGAAAGAGAAGAGGAGAAAGAAUGGAAAUGGAGGGCAGGAGUCACAGUAACAAGGGAGAGAGCAAGAGUAGUGUGGUUGUCAGUGAUCAAGAAACUACAAUCGAUUGGAGAGGGAGACCCUCCAAUCCUAGCAAGCACGGUGGAAUGAGAGCUGCAACAUUUGUUCUUGGGCUUCAAGCAUUUGAGAUAAUGGCAAUAGCAGCAGUAGGGAAUAAUCUGAUAACAUAUGUGAUGAAUGAGAUGCACUUCUCUUUGUCAAGGUCUGCAAACAUAGUGACAAACUUUGUUGGAACUGUCUUUAUAUUGGCCCUCCUUGGUGGCUACCUCUCAGACUCCUAUCUUGGGUGUUUCUGGACCCUGCUCAUCUUUGGUUUUGUGGAACUUUCUGGUUUCAUAUUGUUAUCAGUCCAAGCUCAUCUUCCCCAGCUAAAGCCACCCCAGUGCAACAUUAAUGAAGAACAGUGUGUUGAAGCAAAGGGCUUAAAGGCAUUAAUUUUUUUUGUAGCACUAUACUUGGUGGCACUAGGGAGUGGAUGUGUUAAACCCAAUAUGAUUGCUCAUGGAGCUGACCAAUUUAACCAAAAUAACCCAAAGCAAUCCAAGAAGCUUUCCACCUACUUCAAUGUUGCCUAUUUUGCUUUUUCAAUAGGUGAACUUAUUGCCCUUACUGUUCUUGUGUGGGUCCAAACACAUUCUGGCAUGGAUGUUGGGUUCGGAGUCUCUGCAGCUGCUAUGGCAAUGGGACUCAUCAGCAUGGUUUCUGGUACUUUAUA